rnacentral:rRNA from 1 species
UAUAUAAUAAAUUUACUCAUAUAUUUAUUAACAUAUAAGAAUUAUAAUUUUAUUUAUACAUACAGCAAUGGACAAAACAAUAAUAAAAAGUAAGUUAUAUGUACCUUUUGCAUCAUGGGUAUACAAGCAUAAAGCAUACUCUAACAACCCGAAUCUUAUAUGAGCUGUAUUAAUAUUGUUAAGAACUAAUUAAUUAAUGUUUCACUAUUAUUAAAAAAUAUUUAUACAGAGGCUAUAUACCAUCCGCAUUAAGAAAUAUCUGGCUUCUAUAAAAAAUUGUUAAUCAAUGUUUCUUAUGUAGAAAAUUAAGUUAUAGAUUAUAAGGUCUAUAAUAAGUACUUAUAUUAAUAAUAUUAAUUAAUGUAGGCUUAAAAACAGCCAACUAAUAAUACUUCACCGUAGCUAAAAAAGAAUAUAUUAAUUAGUAUAGAUCAAAAAUAUAGAAUAUUAAAAUAACCAUAUUAUUAAUAAUAUAAUGUAUAUAUUAGUAUAUUAUAAAAUAAGUUUAAGGAACUCGGCAAAUAUAGUUUUCGACUGUUUAACAAAAACAUUUCCUCCAGCCAUAAUUAUUAGASGUAACCUCUGCCCACUGAACGCUUUAACGGCCGCGGUACCUUAACCGUGCUAAGGUAGCAUAAUAACUUGUCUAUUAAUAGUAGAAUAGCAUGAAAGAGAAAACGAAAAACUACCUGUCUCAAACUUCAAUAUAAAAAUUAUUCUUUAAGUGAAGAAACUUAAAUAAAUCUGUAAGACAAGAAGACCCUAUAAAGCUUUAUAAAUAAUAUAAGUUUAUUAUGUUAUAUAUUCGGUUGGGGCGACCUAGGUAUAAUAAAACAACCUAUAAAUAUAUAGACUUAUAAUUCAUAAAUAGAUCCGUAAAACUAAAAAAUUAAGCUACUUUAGGGAUAACAGGCUAAAAUAUUUAAAGAGCUCUUAUCGACAAAUAUGCUUGGCACCUCGAUGUUGGCUUAAGAUACCUAGAUUACGCAGUAGUUAUCUAAGGUGGUAGGUUUGACCAUUAAAAUCUUACAUGAGCUGAGUUCAGACCGGCGCAAGCCAGGUUAGAUUCUAUCUACAGAAAAAAAAAAUUAUUCAUCUCUAGUACGAGAGGACCAAGAUGA